UAGCUCAAGCCCACCACACGCGCGCACACAUAUAUAUAUAUAUACUAGCCAUCAAUUUCACUAUUUUGCAAAACAAAACCCUAACUGCCCCACACGUCUCUCUUUCAGUCACAGACAUUUGUCUCUCCCUCUUACAGCCCUUCUUCACUCUCAUCUCCUCCAUCUCUUGACUCUCCACAUUUUUUUAUUUUAUCUGAUACGUCUCCCUCUUGUCGUAUAACCUGAUACAUCUCUCCAAGAAUAGGCUCUUCUAUGCCAAACCAGUAACCCUAAUCGCAAACCACCGAAAUGGCUGCUUUAUAGCCCAUUUCGCUUCAGUGAUCUGAUCUUUCUCUUAUAUUAUCUCCACAUCUCUCAUUCGAAGACAUCACUCUCAAGUCUCAUCAUCUUCUAAAAUUUCAGAUCUAACGAUCUAGAGGUCGCAUUGGAGAACCCGAUCUUGGUAGCGAAUUAGGGUUAAGCAUGCCUCCUCAAUCAGCAGGUUUACUUCUUGCAAGGGAGACGGUAAAUUGGAUUGGGCAGUGUCGGUAAAGAAAAAGGUAUGGUGAAGGAGGUAUGGUGAAGGAUGUGAAAAGCUUAAGGAAAGAUGAUGAAAUUGAUGAUAAAGGUCCUUUACAAGGAUAAUCUCCAAAAAGAAGUGGCAACACUACAAUCAGACUCGAAUGAAAGUGGAACCCAACCAUACACACACGGAGUAAUAUAACACACCCGGGCAGACUGCCGACGGAGUAAUAUAACACACCCGGGCAGACUGCACAAGGUAGAGAAACGGGCGGGCGCAUGCGACGGAUUAUGGGUCAGCGAGUAAGCUGUUCUCACUCCUGAUGGAGAGAGAGAAAAAGGACCGUCAACGCAUUUAAAGAAAAAGCCAUCAUUGCUACUAGUGUUCUGAAUCAGUUUUCACCUCAACACAUCCCCUUCUCUCCAGCUGGUUUUCAACGUGCUUCACAGCAAGAGCAGUAAAUGCUCUCCCUCUAUCUCUAUCUCUCUAGACUCUCUCUCUCAUAUUUGCUCCGCCACAACGGCUUGUGGCAGAGAGGGAGGAGGGAGACUUGGGGUUGUUUGCUUGACACUUUAAUUCAGUUUUCAUUUCAUUUGUUUUUACUUCCAUAUAUAUAUAUACUGGAAGUUAAAUUAAUUAACGCAUACAUUCUACCUCCACCACCGAGGAGGUUCGAACUCUCGACCUCUCCAAAGGAUAAUACCCUUUAAAAUAAUAAAAUUAGUUAUAUUUUCAUUCAAAAACUGUGGUAUCUCCACAAGAACAAGCAGCUCUUUAGCUAUUAUGUUUUCAACGUAUCACCCUUCGAUUGAUGGAUUGCGGAAUAGAAGCAAUUAUAUGAAAAGGUAGUAUUACAUGUAUAAGGGAGGGGCCUAAAUCAGUUUCAUACCCCUUGUUGUCCAUUAUAGACCUCUCGCUUCGAAUGUACCCCUUAAGUACCAUGUUGUUCACUUUUGACCCUUCAAAUUUUGUUUCUUUUUCUUCUUUAAGCAUCGACAGGGAGUUUCUGUUGACCAACAAGGAGUUUCUUUCGAGUUCUGAUCAAUUUUAGUAGUCUCUUGAUAACAAUUGUGGAUCACCUAACAGAAAAGCAUGGGUGGAGCUGGUUUGGUAAGCAUGGGUGCUGCAUUACUGCAGUGAAUUUGUGCUUUUAUGUUUUCUUGGCCUGGCAAUAUUUUUACAAAAAUGUCCAAAUAAGGGUAGUUGUUGUUCAUUCUGAUUGCUAUGAAGGUGAUAAUGUAGGGACAAUUGCUUGAUAUAUUUAGUCUUUCUGUCAUUAAGGGAGCAUGUUUAAUGUAUGUAAUCCAAAAAUUUAUGUAGUUUACAUAUAA